rnacentral:pre_miRNA from 1 species
AGGAGGAACAGCCCCAGUGGCGGGGCCAGCUCUGGAAACCUGGAUUCAGCUCCGGCAGGAACUCCAGAGCUCUCCGUCUGCAGGGCCUGGAGGCUCCGGGGCGGG